GCUGUUUGCAAGCACAAGAGGAGACAUGUUCUGCCUGGAGAGCUGCUCACCUUCUGCUCAGGGGAAAACGUGAUGGCUGAGAGAAAGAAGACGCCCUUCCUCAGUAUCUUGUGAUGCACACACGUUUCAUGUCAGGACAGCUUCCCUGUGCAGGUCAGCAUACAGCUUACGUAUUAUGCUGAGCAUGUAUUUAAGAUUCAGACUUCUGGACAAGCUGAAUGUAUCAGGACUGAAAGAGAACUGCCUGGUUAGAGAUGCCAGUCACUUACAUAAACCUCCUAAAAAAGAUCUGCCAAGUCACUGCUGAAGCCACCAAUAAGACUUCAGCUACAAAGUUUGGAAGAGCUACGUGUUGUAAAUGGCAUUCAUGAAAAAACCAUAUGGAAUCAGAAGGAGCUGAGGAUGCACUACUUGGUUUUGUUUCUGACAUAUUUUGUGUAGAAAAACAAAUAUGAAAAGUAAAAUGCCCACUUGAGCCUUACCAAUUUUGUAAACAUUCUCAAAUACAGUUCUAAGAAUUGUUUACACAAGUUGUGCCAGCUGCUUAACGGUUAAAGACUUUACUUUUCUUCACAUUGAAGCAGCAGGGAAGGAGAGGCAUAGAGGAGGAACUUGCAAUUAGGAGCAACAUAACCGAUGAUCCAAAGACCAUCUGGAAAAUUUGCCUGCCGAUGGACAAACUGCUGAUGAAGGUUUCAGGAUGCUUAACACUUAACACCCAACACUGCACUAUGCUCACAAAAUUUAUGGACGUAGGGGCAAACUAUCUGGCACCAGUACUCUCUGCUUGGCCUUCUGCAUUACUUAAAACCAUGAACCUACAUUUUCAGAAUUGUUUCUUUACUUGAAGUUCGCUAAAUGCAUUGAUCAGCUCUGUUUUGCAUUAGAGGGAUUUUCCUUAAGAAGCUAACAAAGUAUCUCCUAUUUACACGACUAUUUUUUAUUGCCGCUUAUGGGGUUGAAUCCUCUUAAAUCACAUGUUAAUGAUAUUACU